rnacentral:tRNA from 1 species
UCCCUGGUGACUCAGUGGUAAAGAAUCUGCCUGCAAUGCAGAAAAUUCAGGUUCGAUUCCUGGGUUGGGAA